UACGGAGGGUGCGAGCGUUAUUCGGAAUUACUGGGCGUAAAGCGCGUGUAGGCGGGGAAGCAAGUCUGAUGUGAAAGCCCCGGGCUUAACCUGGGAAGUGCAUUGGAAACUGUUUUUCUUGAGUACUGGAGAGGAAGGGAGAAUUCCCGGUGUAGAGGUGAAAUUCGUAGAUAUCGGGAGGAACACCAGUGGCGAAGGCGCCCUUCUGGACGGUUACUGACGCUGAGACGCGAGAGAGUGGGGAGCAAACAGG
rnacentral:rRNA from 1 species